GGGGCUGUGGUUCAGUGGUAGACCGCAUGCCUAGCAUGCUUGAGGCACUGGGUUCGAUCCCCAACACCA
rnacentral:tRNA from 1 species